rnacentral:rRNA from 1 species
GUGAGGAAUAUUGGACAAUGGGCGCAAGCCUGAUCCAGCCAUGCCGCGUGCAGGAAGACGCAUCUAUGGUGUGUAAACUGCUUUUGUACGGGAAGAAACACUUCCUCGUGAGGGAGCUUGACGGUACCGUAAGAAUAAGGAUCGGCUAACUCCGUGCCAGCAGCCGCGGUAAUACGGAGGAUCCAAGCGUUAUCCGGAAUCAUUGGGUUUAAAGGGUCCGUAGGCGGUUUAAUAAGUCAGUGGUGAAAGCCCAUCGCUCAACGAUGGAACGGCCAUUGAUACUGUUAGACUUGAAUUACAAGGAAGUAACUAGAAUAUGUAGUGUAGCGGUGAAAUGCUUAGAUAUUACAUGGAAUACCAAUUGCGAAGGCAGGUUACUACUUGUGGAUUGACGCUGAUGGACGAAAGCGUGGGGAGCGAACAGGAUUAGAUACCCUGGUAGUCC